AGCGUUCACUAGCUUCUACCACUCUCUCUCUCUCUCUCUCUCUCUCUCUCUCUCUCUCUCUCGCUCUCAUUGUUGCUCAUGGGUGGAGGUUGGAACUGGAUUUAACUGACUCCUAAAGGAAAAGUAUAGUAAAAUAGAGGAGCAGAGCACAACGUGUGUCGUACGUGCUUUUCAAAUAUCUUGGUCCGCUACGCAGAAUGGACGUCUGAAGUUGUGGUGAAGUGGAUGAACCUCCAAAUUCCGAAUGGACUUGACUUUUUCAUGCAGAGGGCAAGAGACUGACACACUCCAUGUAUCUUCCUGCCAAUAUGCGCCAAGUGUACUUACCAGUGAGAGAUGGGUUAGUGGAGCAGACUGACUCCUCCGCCUCAUAUCGCUCAUCCUUUUCCAGCCAUCAAUAGACGGAUGACCCAGGCGGAGCGGAGGUGAUGGAGGAAUGGGCAGAGAGCAGAGCUCCCACACACACUGACUGUCUAUCUAUCCUUCUCACUGUUUCCACAGAGGAAGGAAAGAGAGGUGAUUGAAUGAGUUCAGCUCGAGUUCUGCUUCACAAUCAUUCUCUGUUCCUCUCUGAAUCUUCAUCUGUCCUCCUUCGGUUCUCUGACCAAAAGUCUUCUUUUGUUCAAUAAUAAAUUUGUGGACCAUUUUUGGCUGCCUGCAUGUAUCUGUAUACUUUCCUGUUAGAAUUUUGUACUUAUUAAAACUAGUGCACUCUUUGGCCUCUAUGCUCUUCAUGCCAGAGCCAGUAUGUAGUACUAAUGCAUCUUUUAUUAAAGAGGUUCAAUUAUACCUAAUUUCACAAUAUGCAGCAUUAGUGUCUCGAGAUUGUAGGUGUAUGUCAAAUCACAUAUUUAUGCAUGAUUCUACGCCAUUUUGUAGUAAAUUAGUGUACAGUAAGUAGUUCAGCACACGGAGUCCUAAAAAGAGCAACUGGACUUUAAAUACACAAAUGAUGUGGGAUGUUGAACACAUCAUGCACUCAAUGGUCUAAGCUUUGCUCACAUAGUGGAAGUGGAGAAACUAUCGGGCACUGAGGUUGGAUUGUUAUAUUUAUUUUUAAAUGUACAUGCAAAAUUCUCCAAUAGAGUUUGUGAAUGCAGUUGUAUCAUGAUGGGUAGUAUUAAAGACCAUAGAAUACACAA